rnacentral:rRNA from 1 species
ACGGAAGCAGCAGUGGGGGAUAUUGCACAAUGGGGGAAACCCUGAUGCAGCGACGCCGCGUGAAGGAAGAAGUAUCUCGGUAUGUAAACUUCUAUCAGCAGGGAAGAUAAUGACGGUACCUGACUAAGAAGCCCCGGCUAACUACGUGCCAGCAGCCGCGGUAAUACGUAGGGGGCAAGCGUUAUCCGGAUUUACUGGGUGUAAAGGGAGCGUAGACGGAGUAGCAAGUCUGAUGUGAAAGGCAUGGGCUCAACCUGUGGACUGCAUUGGAAACUGUUAUUCUUGAGUGCCGGAGGGGUAAGCGGAAUUCCUAGUGUAGCGGUGAAAUGCGUAGAUAUUAGGAGGAACACCAGUGGCGAAGGCGGCUUACUGGACGGUAACUGACGUUGAGGCUCGAAAGCGUGGGGAGCAAACAGGAUUAGAUACCCUGGUA